UACGUAGUGGGCAAGCGUUGUCCGGAAUCAUUGGGCGUAAAGAGCGUGUAGGCGGCUCGAUAAGUCUGCUGUGAAAGUCCAGGGCUCAACCCUGGAAGGCCGGUGGAAACUGUCGGGCUAGAGUCCGGAAGAGGCGAGUGGAAUUCCCGGUGUAGCGGUGAAAUGCGCAGAUAUCAGGAGGAACACCGAUGGCGAAGGCAGGUCUCUGGGCAUUAACUGACGCUGAGGAGCGAAAGCAUGGGGAGCGAACAGG
rnacentral:rRNA from 1 species